GAUGAAGAACGUAGCGAGAUGCGAUAAGUAAUGUGAAUUGCAGAAUUCAGUGAAUCAUCGAAUCUUUGAACGCACAUUGCGCCCGCCAGUAUUCUGGCGGGCAUGCCUGUUCGAGCGUCAUUACAACCCUCAGGCCCCCGGGCCUGGCGUUGGGGAUCGGCGGAGCCCCCCGUGGGCACACGCCGUCCCCCAAAUGCAGUGGCGGUCCCGCCGCAGCUUCCAUCGCGUAGUAGCUAACACCUCGCGACUGGAGAGCGGCGCGGCCACGCCGUAAAACACCCAACUCUUCUGAAGUUGACCUCGAAUCAGGUAGGAAUACCCGCUGAACUUAAGCAUAUCAAUAAGCGGAGGA
rnacentral:misc_RNA from 1 species